GAGUUUAUAACUAUUUGCUUCUUUGCCUUUUCAAAUGUCUAGUCCAGGAAUCCUUCCACCUGAGAUUACUGAGAAAAACCCCACACAAAUAACAGCUCUGCACAGUUUACAACUUGUAGAUUUGAGUUUGUUUAUGUAAAUUUGCAAAUAUGAAAGGCUAUGUGAGAAGACUUCAGGCAGAGAACACUCCCCAAUUAUCAGGAGUAAAGUGUUUGUGUUGUAUAUGUUGUCUUAUCUACCCACGUGCAUCCACAAAGGACCUUCAGCUAUAUCAGCAACAGGAUAUUUCCAUUUUGAACACAACACUUAAGCACAAAAUGUGAAGUUCCAUCAUCAGCCGAAGCUUUCACCGGAAGACCCUAAAUUCCUUAGCUGACAGGAUUGCACCAGAGGUGUUUUUAGAUACAGACCCAUCAGCCCUGAGAGAAGAUGAGUGAGUUUACUAUAUUGAAGAGAUCAACAGUAGAUUUAGUGGAGAAAGUAAAGCCUUUGGGCAGAUGAAAAAAAGUCUAAAAAAUCUAGUUUCCAAGCAGAAAACUUGACUAGUGAUGCAGAGAGCAUGGCAGGAGCUAAAAACUCUUUUUGUGCAGAGACAAUGCCUCAGUGUCAAACCCAACACAUGAAAAUAGGAACACUACAUAUUUUUGAGAGAUGGUUUCAAUAUUUGAUCCGGUUUUCAUUCCCAUAGAACAGAAAUAAAUCAUUUUUUUCUGUAGCCCUGAGGGAGUGCACUGAGUCCUACUUCUUGUCUGAUGCACAG